rnacentral:rRNA from 1 species
GGCAGGCUUCACACAUGCAAGUCGAGCGCCCCGUAAGGGGAGCGGCCGACGGGCGAGUAACGCGUGGGAAUCUACCCAUCUCUACGGAACAACUCCGGGAAACUGGAGCUAAUACCGUAUACGUCCUUUUGGAGAAAGAUUUAUCGGAGAUGGAUGAGCCCGCGUUGGAUUAGCUAGUUGGUGGGGUAAUGGCCUACCAAGGCGACGAUCCAUAGCUGGUCUGAGAGGAUGAUCAGCCACACUGGGACUGAACCACGGCCCAGACUCCUACGGGAGGCAGCAGUGGGGAAUAUUGGACAAUGGGCGCAAGCCUGAUCCAGCCAUGCCGCGUGAGUGAUGAAGGCCCUAGGGUUGUAAAGCUCUUUCAACGGUGAAGAUAAUGACGGUAACCGUAAAAGAAGCCCCGGCUAACUUCGUGCCAGCAGCCGCGGUAAUACGAAGGGGGCUAGCGUUGUUCGGAAUUACUGGGCGUAAAGCGCACGUAGGCGGAUUGUUAAUUUAGGGGUGAAAUCCCAGGGCUCAACCCUGGAACUGCCUUUAAUACUGGCAAUCUCAAGUCCGAGAGAGGUGAGUGGAAUUCCGAGUGUACAGGUGAAAUUCUUAGAUAUUCGGAGGAACACCAGUGUCCAAGGCGGCUCACUGGAUCGGUACUGACGCUGAGGUGACAAAACGUGUUGACCAAAGAGAACUAUAUACCUUGGUAGU